AAGAUCAUACUUUCAGGAUUCAUUUUUGUAGUAUGUAUCUUCGCCUUCUCCGUACUCUUCUGGAGUUCGAUGAAGCCAUGAUGAUGAGCCAUGGCUCCUCGUCUCGAGCGUGAGGUGGGCCUGUUUCUCAAGCAUUUGAGAAGCAGAGCCACGAUGAUCGCAGUCUCUUCGGAGGCAGGGACGAGGAUGCUGGCUGAGUGGU